CCCAGGUUUAGAGGUCACAAAACACGGUCCCCAUACGUCAGAAUGGACUAAUUCAAAAGGAGAAGUUGCACGUUUGUGGACUCUAGGACUCAAAUGCACGCGAUGGUGCUUAGAAAACUCACAUGACUCGCAAGGUAAAGAAGACAAACUCUGAAAUUGAGGACACAAUGUCUUUAACAACGGAAGGGAAGGAUGACCCAAACGACAAUGAGCAUCAAACGGGGUGACAACACUAGAACAAGCCACAGACUCCAGCCUCGUGGUGUCAAGAAUGUAGAGACCCCCAGACAUGUGUCCCUUACCAAUCACCCUCUUUAGUGGUUGCUCUCAGAA